CUCCCAACGCUAAACUUGACUUUCUCUCGCACCGCUUCUUGUCUCUUUCUCUCGAUCUCGAAACCAAUUCAAGACUUUCCUCCAAUCCAAUCGACCUAAUCCGAUCAUUUCGCCGUCAUUUCUCCCAAUUUCGAAUUUAAAACCCUAGUUUUCUUCUUUCCUUGUUUGAUCCGCUGAUCUGAUAGCAUGGAGAGGAUCGUCGGUGGAAAAUUCAAGCUAGGGCGGAAGAUCGGAAGUGGAUCUUUCGGAGAAAUUUAUCUCGCUACUCAUGUGGAUACGUUUGAGAUCGUUGCUGUGAAGAUCGAAAACAGUAAGACUAAACAUCCACAACUGUUCUAUGAGGCGAAGAUAUACAAUAUUCUGCAAGGAGGAAGUGGCAUUCCUGGCAUCAAAUGGUCUGGCAUAGAUGGGGAAGAUAAUGUACUUGUCCUGGAUCUACUUGGACCAAGUCUAGAAGAUCUGUUUGUAUAUUGUGGUCGGAAGUUCUCCUUAAAGACAGUAUUGAUGUUAGCUGAUCAAAUGAUAACAAGAAUAGAGUAUGUACACUCUAAAGGGUUUUUGCAUAGGGACAUUAAACCUGAUAACUUUCUCAUGGGUCUUGGUCGAAAAGCGAAUCAGGUUUACAUCAUUGACUUUGGGCUGGCAAAAAGAUAUCGAGAUUCUACAACCAACCGCCACAUUCCAUACAGGGAGAACAAAAACUUGACAGGGACUGCACGUUAUGCAAGUUGUAAUACUCAUCUUGGGAUUGAGCAAAGUCGGCGGGAUGACUUGGAGUCUCUUGGAUAUGUACUUCUGUAUUUCUUGAGAGGAAGCCUCCCAUGGCAGGGUUUGAAAGCAGCAACGAAGAAGCAAAAGUAUGACAAAAUAUGUGGAAAGAAAUUAUCAACUCCCAUUGAGGUAUUAUGUAAGUCUCAUCCUGUGGAGUUUGCUUCUUACUUCCAUUACUGCCAUUCAUUGACAUUUGAUCAGCGUCCUGAUUAUGGAUUCUUAAAGCGUCUAUUUCGAGAGUUGUUCAGUCGUGAAGGAUAUGCAAUUGAUUAUGUAUUCGAUUGGACCAUCCUAAAGUACCAGCAGGCACAAAAGAGUAGAACUCAGCCACAGUUAUCUCAAGUUCCUGGAGAGGGUAACAGUAGAACAAAACCAAUGGAUCUGGACAAGCAUCAAGGCAACCAUGCUUCUUAUUCAGCUGAGGCAACGGAACUCAUGAGAACAGUCAAUGCUGGUAGUCCUGGCAUCCGUGUGCAGUUUAAGUCACCAGCUGGGAGGAAUUUGAGCUUGGAUAAUCCCCUUGAAAGAAAUAUUUUGAGCAAUACAGACCUGCCAUCAGCUUCAUUCUCUCCUGCAGGUAUGUCAAAACUAAAAGCCUCAAAGGCUGUGUUGCCUGCUGAAAGCACAAACAUCGCUCAUGGGAAUGCUGAAAAAGUAGGUCCUUCAAGCAGCUGGAUAUCAUCCUUGCAUCGUAUAUCUUCCGCUAAGUGAUUAUAUAUGCUGCUAAGUCCAGUGACACACCUAAGGAAGGUCUGAAUGUUCCAUGGAUUUAGAAUUCCUGUCAUUUCCCUAUGGGUGCACUGCUUGUUUUAUAUAAAUUUCAAGACAACUACUAAUUCACGGGGCAACACUAGACACAAAUCAUGUGUGGGUUAGUUGACAAGAUUUUGGUGAUGGAGGAAGAGGUUAUGAUAUGAUCACCAAGUUCCUUCGUGGAUGGCAGGCUGCUUGCCUGAGUAGUUAUCUAUCCUUUCCUGAGGUGACUAAAUCAUUGGAUGAUCCUUCAACACAAACUGGAUGUCUUCAUUGGGGUGCAAUGAACCUGGGAAAGUAUCAUCAUUGUCUUUUUGUUCUGAAGACUUGCGAGGCUGAUACCAUUUCCUGCUCAGAGAUCUAUUUGAAAAGGGGGCUUUCUAUUGGAUAGAACAGGUGAACUGUUUAUAAACUAGUGAGCAUGAAACACCUAAAUUUUAACACGGGUUUAAGAAUGUGGUUCAGACUUUUCAUUUAGAAGAGGCAGAAUGUGGUUGUAGUUUAUAGCCCAGAGCUUGGAACUGUCUUUAGACCAUAAAAGAUAGUGUGGCACAGCUGGAGAAACUUGAUUGAAUACUUGGAUUUGGGCACUAGGGUCAAGAGGGCAACAGUUUUGUAGAGUGGAUGGAGCCAGUAAUGGAAAAGAACCGUACAGCUUCAAUUGGGAAUGCCGGAAAAUAAUGUUGCAGUACUUGCGAAAUUUCCCUUAAAAUAAAGGGUCAAGGAAAAUAAUAAUAUGAGCUGAUUUGUGCUUGUCGUUUUCAGGUCUAGUAUCCUUUGAAGCUUGCAGUAUGGACGUGGAUUAGCCGAGGCAAAAUGAAUAUCUCCUUUUGAAUGUAUGUGUGUAGGUAUAUUUGUGGAUAUGACAAUAGCAGAACACACAGGAUGUGAGUGGCAAUUAAGACAUAAGAUGGUUGACUUUUGGAACCCGAGAGGAUCUGAGUGUGCCUUAUGUUUUACAGGUGUAGUGCUUUUACUCUUUGGGUCUGGGUAGAUAAUUGAGUAGCAACAGAUGGAUGUACGAUUUAGCUGAAUGGAUCACUAAUUAUUGCAUUGCACGAUCCACGUUGGUAACUUGACAAAUGGAGUGGCUCUAGCCCACGGAGAGCAACUGCUGGUUGGAUUAUCUGCCUUAAAAAAACGGAUGGCCGGCAGGACUGCCCCUGCUUGUAUGGCGUUGCAAUGACUUUUGAGUUAUAUGAAUAUUAAGUAUAUCAUCGUGUUGCUCCCCGUUUUGUUUGCACCACCUCGAAAGUGUUCUCUAGGUACGUUCAGCAGGGAUUCAUCUUUGUCAACUUUUACCCCCUUGGGGAGGGAAAGCAUAUUCAGAAAGGAGAAUAUUACGUUUAGCUUGUA